rnacentral:rRNA from 1 species
AAGUCGUAACAAGGUUUCCGUAGGUGAACCUGCGGAAGGAUCAUUAAUGACCCUUCCCCCAAGUCGAUCUCUCAGUGCUGGUGGCAACACAUGUGCACGGAGGUUGCAAAUUCUAUACACCUCGUGAACAAAAUUCAGAACCGUUCUCUCCAGUCUCCUGGUCAAUUCGAUGUAGACUCUGAUUUAUGCUGCCUCAGAACUUGCGGCAAGAUAAUUCAGUAAUGUGUCGAAUUAGGCGUGUAAUGGAGCUGUUUUCCAUGGUGCGAACUUGAUCACUUACAUAUAUAAGUGCUUUAACCAUGAGAGAAUCAGAGUGAGAGUAUCAUAACACCAGGUACCUUCUAAGUGCUUAGCAUUGUGUGCUUAGAUGAUCUUCACUCACUGGAGUAUGCAUAUAGUACUGUAACUGCGUCAACCAUUUUGUGGUGAUGACAUAGGCAGGCUUGGGUGAAUCAUUGUUCUCAAUGUCCCAAUCGUUCUGAAUUGAGCAGGGAUUCAGGGAGGGGUGUCCUCCCCGUUUUCCCGGCAAUUUCCUCUCUCAUACACCGCGUGUUCUGCAUGUCUCUGUGUAAUCAUACACAAUCAAAACAACUUUCAACAACGGAUCUCUUGGCUCUCGCAUCGAUGAAGAACGCAGCGAAAUGCGAUAAGUAAUGUGAAUUGCAGAAUUCAGUGAAUCAUCGAAUCUUUGAACGCACCUUGCACCCUUUGGUUUUCCAAUGGGUACACCCGUUUGAGCGUCUUUGUACUCUCACACUUUUCAGUACCGCCUCGGCAUUGGUAAAGUUGUGGAUCUGGAUGAUUGUUGUGAAUUGUCUCACAACUCUUCUAAAAAAUCUUGGUGCAUCGCCGUGUGGGCUGAUCGUAGUAAUCCUCUACUAUUCAGUCAGACUUCGUAUCCCAAUGAAAGGAAUGCUAGAAACAUUGACAGUUGCUUGAUGAUCUACCAAGGAUGUCUAGAGUCUCGCCUCCGCUUGCUGGUAGGGAGUGUCCCAUGGCGAUAAGGAGACAGAGUUUUUAGAUUGAUAUCAAUGCAGUUGCGUUUCAUCGGUUAAGAUUUUCAUUUUGUGUGGGAUACUUGACGUAAUAAACCUUUUUUCGUCAUCACGCCCUCCGAAGUCGUUGCUCGGUAUUCCACGUGCCGUCAAACCGUCUGUUCAUCACAGGCAAUCUGUUUUUUGACAAUUUGACCUCAAAUCGGGUGGGACUACCCGCUGAACUUAAGCAUAUCAAUAAGCGGAGGAAAAGAAACUAACAAGGAUUCCCCUAGUAACGGCGAGUGAAGAGGGAAACGCUCAAAUUUUGAAUCUGAGGUCUUCGAUCUCCGAGUUGUAAUCUAGAGAAGUGUUUUCUGUGUUGGACCAUGUACAAGUCCCCUGGAACGGGGCGUCAUAGAGGGUGAGAAUCCCGUAUAUGCCAUGGACUACCAUCACUCUGUGAUACACUCUCAACGAGUCGAGUUGUUUGGGAAUGCAGCUCAAAAUGGGUGGUAAAUUCCAUCUAAAGCUAAAUAUUGGCGAGAGACCGAUAGCGAACAAGUACCGUGAGGGAAAGAUGAAAAGCACUUUGGAAAGAGAGUGAAACAGUACGUGAAAUUGUUGAAAGGGAAGCGUUUGAAGUCAGUCAUAUUGGUUGGAGCUCAGCCUGGCUUCUGCCUGGUGUACUCUCCUUUCAAUGGGUCAGCAUCAAUUCUGAUCGAGGGAAAAAGGCUUGGGUGAAUGUGGCUGUCCUCGGAUAGUGUUAUAGCCUCUUGCUGUAUGUCUCGAUCGGAUUGAGGAACGCAGUGUGCCUUCGCGGCCGGGGUUCGCGCCCUCGGUACACACUAGGAU